AUGCAACGCGAAGAACUUACCUGGUCUUGACAUCCCGGAGACCCUUAGGAAACUAGGGGUGCUUCCAUCUGGAAGAAUCUGGAGACAGGUGCUGCAUGGCUGUCGUCAGCUCGUGUCGUGAGAUGUUGGGUUAAGUCCCGCAACGAGCGCAACCCUUGCCUUUAGUUACCAGCAGUUCGGCUGGGCACUCUAAAGGGACUGCCGGUGUUAAACCGGAGGAAGGUGGGGAUGACGUCAAGUCCUCAUGGCCUUUAUGACCAGGGCUACACACGUACUACAAUGGCCGAUACAAAGGGCAGCGACACUGCGAGGUGAAGCCAAUCCCGUAAAAUCGGUCUCAGUCCGGAUUGGAGUCUGCAACUCGACUCCAUGAAGUUGGAAUCGCUAGUAAUCGUGGAUCAGCAUGCCACGGUGAAUACGUUCCCGGGCCUU
rnacentral:rRNA from 1 species